GCCGCGCGUACAGCUCAUCUAUCGCUCCCAGCUCCACGCAGGUCAACACAAGCUUGGCAGGGUCUCAGUAUGUAGUCCAGACUGGCUUCGAGCUUGCAGCAAUCCACCUGUCUCACCAUCCCAAGUGCUGGGAUAACAGGUAUGGGCCACCAUGCUUGGCAUUUUUGUAUUUUUAGAUAGGGUCUCAACUAUAUAGUUCAAUUUGCCCUUGAACCCACUGUGUAUCCCAGGCUGGUCUCAAAUUCACAAAGAGCCUCUGAGAUUACUGAUGUGUGCCAUCAUGGCUAGCUUUCAAUCUUUGAAGUUACCAUGUAUUACCCCUUAAUAUGUCAAUGAGGCAAAAAGAUGUGUCUGUGUGUAUAUAUAUAAAUGCACAUAUAUAUAUACACACAUGCAUACGUAAGGCAUGUGUAGAACUGUAUUCUGAAAUUUGUCACAAGGAAUUUUAUGGUUUUGAAAUAAUUCCAUAGCUCUCCUUAAAUUUCUUAUAAACCCAAUAUUCUCCUAUAAUUACAUUAUUUUUUAAAAAAUGGGAUUCUGUGUCAGGGAAUAUAAGUUAGUGGUAAGAGCAUUUGCUUAGCCUGCUCAAUGCCCUUGAAUUUAUCUCCAGCACCACACAUACACACACAUACAGAGUUAAAUAGAGUUAAAUUCUACACAAUUAGGACAGGCAUGAAGGAUUCAUAAAUUGGAGAUGAGAUUGGAGUACUGAUUUGAUCAUGCUGUAUAAUGCAACAGACACAAGUUUCUGCUAUAUUUUUGUAACAUAUAAUGGAAUUAAAAAGGGCGGGGACCAACACUGGGUAAACCAAUAGUUGAAGAAAAACACUGGAGUGGGAAAGUGAGCUUCACUGAAUAAUUGGGAGUGUAAUGCAUUCAGGAAGAGUGACAACAAUUUUUUGCUACAUCAAAAUUUAUUUGGACUUCUUUUUUUUGUGGUGAUCAUUGAAUCAGGGCUUGCUGGAUGCUAAGUAUGCACUGAUCCACUGAGUUACACACCGAACCUGUAGUCAGGCUUCUGAGUUUUCUCCAAGAACCAUUCUGCAUUUCUUUGAAAAAUCCAAUUUAAGCAAAAACUGCUAAGAUGGUUUAGCAAGAAAACCUCCAAUCCAGCCUUGAUAACUGAUCAUCCUCAGCACAUGAUCAGUUUCCUCAUCCACCACUAUCCCCCAGGUGCUGUUUCAUUAGGUGAUUCGAGCCUGUAUCUUCCUUACCUCUCAUGUUUCUGCACAGUAAUUUUCCAUUGAUUGACUUCCCUGCUGCUCUUUGACUAUAAAUUGCCACUUGGCUAUUCUGUAUUCAGAAUUGGGCUCAAUUUCUUUCCCUGUCAUUGAAAAUUUUUCCUAUUAUCCUUCAAAGCAGUCCUAAAUAAAGUCUUUAUACUAUGCUUUACUGAAUAUCAUUGAAGAUAUUUUUUUCACAGUUAGGAAGCCACAACUUGAAUAGGAUAAGUUCAUCAUUGGCCCUCUCAUCCAGGACAUAGGUGUACACCACUGAAGCUUGGCCUUUACUUCUGAUUGAUCAGGAAGCUGUGAGUGAGCCAGACACCUGAACUAUUUCUCUAGGAAUAUAUGCAAUGAAGGUGGUAUGUCUGAAUGAAAAAACAACCUACAAGGGGGUUUCACCCCAUAUUCUCAUUCCUGAAUGACAAUGAUUCCCUGAGUCCUUGGACGGAAGUUGUGUCCUGGCUCUGUUUUCCUAGGAGGCUACCACCCUGGACCUGAAUAUUGUAUCCUAUGUUCCUUUUCUUUUCGAGACAAGCUCAAUAUACAGUUCAGGCUGGCUGGAAAUUCUCAGUGAUCCUCCUGCCUCAGCCUCCCGAGUGCUGGGAUUACAAGCAUGCAUCACCACAUCAGGCCUGUUUCUUUUUGAUGAAAGUGUGGGGAGACAUAUUGGCAAUCAGCAGGCAAUGUCCCCAUAUAUAUGCUUGCCACAAUGGCACUAGUACAGUGGAACUAUGAGAAGCAACCAAAGCAAGAUGUGUCUCAACACAUCUUGAGUGGGAGUGGGUAUUAUUUUGGUAACUAGGGUGGCUUUGUGUGGCUCAUUUCUACAAUCUUCCCCAGGUCUGCUGAGAACACCAAACCAUUCCAAAAAGAUUACAGUAAAUAAUACCAGGGGCCUAGCAUUCUUUCCAAGGCUUUAAUUCCAGCACACUAUUCAGGAUACAAAGUAGUUUGCCAGAGUGGCUUCACAGACUGGGGCUGUGCAGGAUCACUUUGAAUAGGACUAGAGGCUCUGUCAUGCGCACGUCCAGCCUUGGCUUCCUGUUGGCAUGUGCCAGAAUCUCAGCUCUCCUGGAGAAAUCAGGGGAGUAGGCCUCUGUUCU
ensembl:lncRNA